AUCGUUGUACGCAGCAUUGUAAAAGACGUGAGACAAAUGUACUUAGCGUUGUGCCAAAUCAUCAUUGCAUAUCGUACGCGAAUCACGACUCAUAGUCUAAUGGUAUUUGGACGUCGACAAUUUCUCCAAAUGGUAUAAACGCUGCGUGCAACACCUUCUCGUCGACCUCCUCGGCUAAACCACCUGAAAACAAAUGGGAUCAAAUCAUUAAUCUGAACGAUAGCUUGCCGCGCAAUAUUUCUCGUGCGAUUUCAACGCAACAAACAAGAGCCAGCCUGAUAACAAGCGUGUUGACUGAGGGAUACCGAGGGACGCCGACGCGUUGACA